AGGGAAGUGUAAACGAGGGCAGCUCAGAAUCCUUUCCUGUCAGCUUCACGUGCUAGCUUUUGAGCUGAGGAAGCAUGCUCUGUGUUUCUGAGGUGUUCCCUUCUGUUUUAAAAGAGAAGGGCUGCAAGGUGACAUUUUUCUUGUGGCUUGCAGCUUUGCUCCUUGGCACAGACCUUUGUUUCCAUGUGGCAGACUGUUUUGCAGUCUGUGGGUGUCCCAACUUCAGACAUGCAUCUUCUAGACUGACAACUGUUCUAAGGAGGAAAGAAAGAAAGUGGUUUAAUCAGAACGACAUUUGAGUGUUAACACAGCGAGGUGAACGAGGGCCCCAGAAGCAAACUUGGUGCUGUUGAAGCACUGUCCGAUGACAAGGUUGAAGGUAACACCUGCCGGCAGAUGUGGAAAACACCUCUGGAUUGUGGUGAGGAGAAAGUGAAACACAAUGACUGAGCUGCCUGCAAAGAGCUUCUGGUGGAAGCUUGGUAGCAACUUGGAACUAGAUCAGAUCAACUUCUUGUGUGCUGACAUCCAGCCAGGCUUUGGGGAUGAGUCUGCAUAGCAGGGUAUGUGUGGCAGGACUGAGGCUUGGGGAGCAGGCCAGGUGGAAUCCAGUGCGCUUUGCUCUUGUUCUCAGUGUUUGUUUUUGCUCAGGAGGGCAGGUGGUGAAGCUCAUGAAGCAAUGCCUGCAGAUGGGGUUUGCGAAACAAGAGGUCCUGAAGGCCUUGUGUGACACGCAUGGAGCUGUAGCAGGGCUGCAUCAGUGUAAAACAGCAGAAAUGCACGGAGGUGUGAAGGUGAGUGGUGGGCUCCAGUAGUGCAGGAGGGGAUGUACGUGCUCAGGGUUUGGCUGCUUCUGUGUGUGUUUUAAGUGAGUGUGAUGCCACUGCUUGGUCCGUUUGAGUGUAUGGAACAAGUGUGCCAUCCUUUGUGAUGGAGUCAUGUGCAAGGAGUCCUAUGGAUUUGAGAGCUGACUUGAAGCCUGUGGGCAUCACGGAGGAAUAGGGGUAGGGGAUGAGGCAAGGGAAGUUAGGGUAAGGGGAUGAGGCGUAGGGACCGGAACCUCUUUGGCCGAUAUGAUGUCCUGCCGUUCUCUUUUUGGAUUAGGAAUCUCUGUGUGUUUUUUAAUGAAGAACAAACUCACUGUUCAGCUUGUGCAUGAAUUAAUUCACGUAUGUUAGUCCGUUUCAUUCUCUGCAUGGAGCUGCAAUUGAAACGAAUGCUUCUGGUGUGAUGUCUGGUCUCUCCCGCGUUCUCAGAAGAACCAAGUUGGCAAGGCCUGGCUCUUGGUUGGUGAGCAAAGGCAAAAAUGCACGCGGGAAAGAAAUUGGCAGAGCAGUCUGGUAGUAGUUCUGUGUUUCUCUUCCUUUAUUUCCAUGCAGGUGAAAGAGAUGGCUGCUCUAAGCCGGCCUUGAAUGCAAAAAAGGACCCUAGUGUGGAUUUGCCAUAGGCCCAGCAAGAGGCUCAACAGGACCGAGCGCCGGGUCCUGCACUUUGGUCACGCCAACCCCAUGCCAGCUUCCCCAGGAUGUGCUGGGAUAGAAUUCCAACCACCAACGAAUUUCUCGAACGCUGGGGUGCCCUUUUGGAAUCCUAUGGUCUUGUGACGUGGUCUUGCCUCCCCACCUUGCCCAUCCAUGGUGGAGCAGCCGGGUGGCCCUUAGUGAUGUCACAAGCGGCUAGAAUGAGGGGAGGAGCAGCGCGUGCUGCGUCCCUUCAUUGGAGCGCUAGAGCUCGGCGUGAGUACGUGGCUUGUUGCACUUGUGCAUCGAGUGAGUCUGUUCGUCUUCAGCCCGUCUUGCGCAGCGUCUUGUAGGUAAGCUGAGACGGUGCGGGAUAGACGGGUGGGCAGCGAGGGCUUGAGAAGUGCUGGCUGGCGGAGCUCCUAGGAUCAUAUUGCUUAGUCUGGACCGUCAGACGCCGUUUUCCCCCAGGCCAUCACUUCCAAAGCCAUCCAUCAAGAUGGCAUUUGUCCCACGGUUUUUCCCUCGCCUUCCUUGCUAAAUUGUGCAGGCUCACUGACCUGCUCUUUCUCUGUCCCCUCCCCACCCUCCGCCUGCUCCCUUGGUGCAGCUUUUGCUCGCGGAAGAUCAGAGCAAAGUGACAAGGAACGGCUGCGGGUUCGAGGAUCUUCUUCUCCCUUGUUCUGAUCUCUUGCCAGGUACGUGCCAUGUUUUGUAUUGCCACAUGGUUCAGCAGCCCGUGUUUAGUCGCACCGUGUGUAGUAACACAGCCUCGUCCAGCUGGAAUGCGGCACUGGUCCCGUGUGGGUUUUUUCCACUUCCCCUCCAGCUCAGCCCUCGGCAGGAUGCUGCCUGUAG
ensembl:lncRNA